rnacentral:rRNA from 1 species
UACAGAGGGGGCAAGCGUUGUUCGGAAUUACUGGGCGUAAAGGGCGCGUAGGCGGCCUGCUAAGUCGAACGUGAAAUCCCCGGGCUCAACCCGGGAACUGCGUCCGAUACUGGUUGGCUUGAAUCCGGGAGAGGGAUGUGGAAUCCAGGUGUAGCGGUGAAAUGCGUAGAUAUCUGGAGGAACACCGGUGGCGAAGGCGGCAUCCUGGACCGGUAUUGACGCUGAGGCGCGAAAGCCAGGGGAGCAAAGCGGG